rnacentral:rRNA from 1 species
UACAGAGGGGGCAAGCGUUGUUCGGAAUUACUGGGCGUAAAGGGCGCGUAGGCGGCCUGUUAAGUCGAACGUGAAAUCCCCGGGCUCAACCCGGGAACUGCGCCCGAUACUGGCAGGCUUGAAUUCGGGAGAGGGAUGUGGAAUUCCAGGUGUAGCGGUGAAAUGCGUAGAUAUCUGGAGGAACACCGGUGGCGAAGGCGGCAUCCUGGACCGGUAUUGACGCUGAGGCGCGAAAGCUAGGGGAGCAAACGGG